GCCUGGGUGGCUCAGUCGGUUAAGCAUCUGACUUCAGCUCAGGUCGUGAUCUCGCCAUCCAUGAGUUCGAGCCCUGUUUUGGGCU
rnacentral:tRNA from 1 species